GACGAACGCUGGCGGCGUGCCUAAUACAUGCAAGUUGAGCGCUGAAGGUUGGUACUUGUACCGACUGGAUGAGCAGCGAACGGGUGAGUAACGCGUGGGUAAUCUGCCUUUGAGCGGGGGACAACAUUUGGAAACGAAUGCUAAUACCGCAUAAAAACUUUAAACACAAGUUUUAAGUUUGAAAGAUGCAAUUGCAUCACUCAAAGAUGAUCCCGCGUUGUAUUAGCUAGUUGGUGAGGUAAAGGCUCACCAAGGCGAUGAUACAUAGCCGACCUGAGAGGGUGAUCGGCCACAUUGGGACUGAGACACGGCCCAAACUCCUACGGGAGGCAGCAGUAGGGAAUCUUCGGCAAUGGACGAAAGUCUGAACGAGCAACGCCGCGUGAGUGAAGAAGGUUUUCGGAUCGUAAAACUCUGUUGGUAGAGAAGAACGUUGGUGAGAGUGGAAAGCUCAUCAAGUGACGGUAACUACCCAGAAAGGGACGGCUAACUACGUG
rnacentral:rRNA from 1 species